rnacentral:lncRNA from 1 species
UCUUAACAUCAUCAAAGCAGUUGCAAAAAGAUACCAAGAUGAAGGGGUGCCCAAAGCAUCCGAGAGAACUCGUCACAGAAAAUAACUUGAUUAAAACCUGACUCUUUUAAAAGUGGCCAUGCGGACCAGGACGGUGAACACUUCCCUGACCAUGUCUUACUCAGAGCCUUAAGAAGAGUUGGAGGUGGAGCGGAGCUGUGGGGAGGGGCCCAGUGUCUCUCAGAACUUCUCAUCCUCCGGGCUUCCCUAGGAUGCAAUGGGUCAGAGCUCCCAGAUCUCUUAUGCCUCCAAACACAUUGAUUCCCCCCAACUUUUUUACAACGGAUUUCCCAGUUCCUACCAAUCUCAUCUCUCUAAGUAAAUAAGAAGGGGUUUCUACUGAUGGCUUUCCCAUGGCCCGGCUUCAUGCUGCUCCUGUCAGGAUGGAUCAGGAAAGGAGCUGGACCUGAAGAUGAAUCUACCAUACAGUAGGUAGAGGCACGUGACAAGCACGCGCCAAGUCCUAAGCUGAUGCCCGCUAUCAGAAUUAACUGGGUGUGGUGGUGCGUGUUUGUAAUGCCACACUUGAGAGGUCCCAGCAGGAUGGCCAGAACUUCAGCUCAGCUACAGUGCAAGCUGGAGGCCAACCUGUGCUACAUGAGACGCUGUCUAAAUGACAAAACACAUCAAACAGACAAACAAAAGGGCUAAGGUUGGCUAAGGGAGAUCGAGUCAGAAAACCAGCUUGCAUGGAGAAUGCGCUCCUGGAAGCAAGGAUAUCGUUUACAGCCAUAAAAUGAUAAUAACCUGGUAGGAAAACGGGGUGGGAUUUAUAAGUGUCUUCAACAUGCAGAACGAGUAAAACUCACUACACUUCUCAAAAAUGGCAGUGUGGGGACCUUUGAGAGGGGCUCAGUGGGUGAAGGAGUUUGCUAUGGAGCCAAAUGACCUGAGUUCAAGCCCCACCACCCACAAGGUAGAAGGAAAGGAACAACUCCCGCAAGCUGUCUUCUGACCUCCGUGGUGGUACUAUAGCACGCCUUUGCCCCUACCCCACACAAAUAAGAAAACAACAAACAAAUAAACAAAUAAAUAUAAAUAAAACCAAAGAAAGG